rnacentral:rRNA from 1 species
GCGGGAAUUCGAUUUUCCGGUUGAUCCUGCCGGACCUUACUGCUAUCGGGGUAGGACUAAGCCAUGCAAGUCGUGCGUCUCCUAGCUAUGUUGGAGACGCGGCACACCGCUCAGUAACACGUGGUUAACCUGCCCUUAGGACCGGGACAACCCCGGGAAACUGGGACUAAUCCCGGAUAGAUGAGGUUUCCUGAAAUGGUGCUUCGUUGAAAGGGCGUCAAGAGCAUGUUCUUGAUGUUGCCUAAGGAUGGGACCGCGUCCGAUCAGGUUGUUGGUGGGGUAACGGCUCACCAAGCCGAUAACCGGUACGGGCCCUGAGAGGGGGAGCCCGGAGAUGGAACCUGAGACAUUGUUCCAGGCCCUAUGGGGCGCAGCAGGCGCGAAACCUCCACAAUGCACGAAAGUGUGAUGGGGUUACCCCGAGUGCCUUCCGAUGAGGAGGGCUUUUAACUGGUGUAAGGAGCCAGUAGAAUAAGGGGGGGGCAAGAUUGGUGUCAGCCGCCGCGGUAAUACCAACCCCCCGAGUGGUAAGGACGAUUAUUUGGCUUAAAGCGUUCGUAGCCGGCUUGGAUAGUCUUCCGUUAAAUCCAGCGACUAAUCGUUGGGCUGCGGAAGAUACUUUCAAGCUAGGAGGCGGAAGAGGUCGGCGGUAUUCCUAGGGGAGGGGUGAAAUCCUAUAAUCCUAGGAGGACCACCAGUGGCGAAGGCGGCCGACCAGUACGCGCUCGACGGUGAGGGACGAAAGCUGGGGGAGCGAACCGGAUUAGAUACCCGGGUAGUCCCAGCCGUAAACUA